rnacentral:rRNA from 1 species
GGCGAUCGGGUGCUAUACAUGCAGUCGAGCGGACAGAAGGGAGCUUGCUCCCGGAUGUUAGCGGCGGACGGGUGAGUAACACGUGGGUAACCUGCCUGUAAGACUGGGAUAACUCCGGGAAACCGGAGCUAAUACCGGAUAGUUCCUUGAACCGCAUGGUUCAAGGAUGAAAGACGGUUUCGGCUGUCACUUACAGAUGGACCCGCGGCGCAUUAGCUAGUUGGUGAGGUAACGGCUCACCAAGGCGACGAUGCGUAGCCGACCUGAGAGGGUGAUCGGCCACACUGGGACUGAGACACGGCCCAGACUCCUACGGGAGGCAGCAGUAGGGAAUCUUCCGCAAUGGACGAAAGUCUGACGGAGCAACGCCCGCGUGAGUGAUGAAGGUUUUCGGAUCGUAAAGCUCUGUUGUUAGGGAAGAACAAGUGCAAGAGUAACUGCUUGCACCUUGACGGUACCUAACCAGAAAGCCACGGCUAACUACGUGCCAGCAGCCCGCGGUAAUACGUAGGUGGCAAGCGUUGUCCGGAAUUAUUGGGCGUAAAGGGCUCGCAGGCGGUUUCUUAAGUCUGAUGUGAAAGCCCCCGGCUCAACCGGGGAGGGUCAUUGUGAAACUGUUGAAACUUGAGUGCCACAAGAGGAGAGUGUAAAUUCCACGAGCUAGCGGCGAUAAUGCGUCGGAAAUCCGCAGGAAACAUCAGCGGUCAAACGCGUACUCUCU